rnacentral:rRNA from 1 species
UACCAGCACCCCGAGUGGUCGGGACGAUUAUUGGGCCUAAAGCAUCCGUAGCCGGUCCUACAAGUCUUCCGUUAAAUCCACCUGCUUAACAGAUGGGCUGCGGAAGAUACUAUAAGGCUAGGAGGCGGGAGAGGCAAGCGGUACUCAGUGGGUAGGGGUAAAAUCCUCUGAUCCAUUGAAGACCACCAGUGGCGAAGGCGGCUUGCCAGAACGCGCUCGACGGUGAGGGAUGAAAGCUGGGGGAGCAAACCGGG